CCUCAGAAUAGCGAUAGAAGUCGCUGGAACUCUUGCUUAUCUUCACUCCUCUGCUUCUAUUCCAAUCAUCCAUCGCGAUAUCAAAACUGCAAAUAUUCUCUUGGAUGAAAACUUAACUGCAAAAGUAGCCGACUUUGGCGCUUCUAAGCUUAUACCAAUGGAUAAAGAGCAGCUCACAACUAUGGUGCAAGGCACUCUAGGCUAUUUAGACCCAGAAUACUAUACCACAGGGCUUCUGAACGAGAAGAGCGAUGUGUAUAGCUUUGGGGUAGUCCUCAUGGAACUGCUCUCAGGUCAAAAGGCAUUGUGCUUUGAACGGCCACAGGCUUCAAAACAUUUGGUGAGUUACUUUGUUUCUGCCACGGAAGAGAAUAGGUUGCAUGAGAUUAUUGACGACCAAGUGUUGAACGAGGAUAAUCUGAAGGAGAUCCAGGAAGCUGCAAGAAUUGCUGCAGAGUGUACAAGGCUAAUGGGAGAGGAAAGGCCAAGGAUGAAAGAAGUAGCUGCAAAGCUAGAAGCCUUGAGGGUCGAGAAAACCAAACAUAAGUGGUCGGAUCAGUAUCCUGAGGAGAAUGAACACUUGAUUGGUGGUCACAUCUUGUCUGCACAAGGCGAAACCAGUAGCAGCAUUGGCUAUGAUAGCAUCAAAAAUGUAGCAAUAUUGGACAUUGAAACUGGCCGCUGAUAUUGCUCACAAAAUCACAUGUAUCUCUUUUGUUUGUAAAAAAAGAAAACCACUUAUUUGUUGCUUCAUCAAUAUGCUUUGAGAGCUUGUUUGUUCAUCAUCAAUAAUCAUGUUCAUAUUUUCCUUUACUUGGUAUACUAUGGUGCAAGGCACUCUAGGCUAUUUAGACCCAGAAUACUAUACCACAGGGCUUCUGAACGAGAAGAGCGAUGUGUAUAGCUUUGGGGUAGUCCUCAUGGAACUGCUCUCAGGUCAAAAGGCAUUGUGCUUUGAACGGCCACAGGCUUCAAAACAUUUGGUGAGUUACUUUGUUUCUGCCACGGAAGAGAAUAGGUUGCAUGAGAUUAUUGACGACCAAGUGUUGAACGAGGAUAAUCUGAAGGAGAUCCAGGAAGCUGCAAGAAUUGCUGCAGAGUGUACAAGGCUAAUGGGAAAAGAAAGGCCAAGGAUGAAAGAAGUAGCUGUAGAGCUAGAAACUUUGAGCGUCAAAACAACCAAACAUAAUUGGUCGGAUCAGUAUCGAGAGGAGAAUUUACACUUGCUUGGUAGCAACAUCGUGUCUUCCCAAGGCGAUACCAAUAGCCGUGGUUAUGACAGCGUCAAGAAUGUAGCAUUGCUUGACAUUGAAGCUGGCCGCUGAUAAAUUUUGUUUGUUAAAAAGUAUAUUGUUUAAUUCUUUAUUGUUUAUCUCCUUUUGUCUUUAUAAACAUAACCAGAAUAUCAAAACAUGACAUUCAAAAACAUUGAUAUCCUUGUAGAUCAUCCAUAUAUACUCAUGUUCACAAUUCUCCUAUAUUUUUAUAUGCUAACCAGUAGCUGAUUAGGUAUUAGAAAAACUACCUAGAGUUCAUAAAUAUGAUUCCAUACGACAUUAAUAUAUCAUUGUGCUUAAUUAUAAAGAAAAACAAAACAACUCGAGAAGAAAAAACACUAGAAUUUAAAGUAGGCGUCAAAAACAGAGGAGAGUAAGUAUACUAUGAAUAUGAUCAUCGAAAUCUUCAGCACCUGGUCGAGUUCAUCGUAGAUACCGCUUCCUCAAACCAAACCAUAUGAUUCUUUGUUAGUUGCUUGGUAAACUAAAAAAAUAAAAGACUCAUUUGGUGCAAACUUCAUAUUUGAUCUACAGCUUGAGUCAUCAUGUUUCGUUACUCAUCUACAACCCAUCAUUCUUGUUGCAUAAGAUUGCUUGAUAUUGUAUAUCACAUCAAAUCUCUUAAUUUGUUUCUUGUUAAAAUAUAUGAUUUUUAGUAAGUGUUAGUCAGCAAUCCUACGAUUAUUGGCAGGUUAGUCACCAAUCAAAGCAUGAUCACUUGUUGUCUACUUCCAUUUGAUUACCCCAAUUCAUGUUUAUUGACUUACUAAUAAUACCAAGCACGUAUUCAGACUAAAAUUAUCUUAGAACCAACUUCAGUGGAUGAAGAUAAAAGUUGGGGAAAGUGCAGACUCAAAUAUUAAAGGAAUCUCAAUUCUCAGUUUUAACUUUUACUUGUAUGUUUGGUAAUGCUUUUACCUUUGGUUGCAUGCUGCAAAAGUGAUUUACUCUGUCCCAAGACUGAACUUCAACUUGUGUAUAUGAUUCAAUUAGACAAAGGGAGAGGAAAGUAGUGAGUUUUUGUCCAGCUCACUGACAAUGUAUCGAUAUGAUGUCUUUAGACUUUGCUUUUUCGUGUAACUACUCAAUUUAUGCAAUGAUGAAUCAGUUUUUGUCUUGUACCUGCGUUUAAUAAAAAGAAGAAGAGUUUUACAAAAAACAAGAGUAUUUUCUAGUCAUAGACCUAGUUAGUCUCUAACUAAUGGAGAUGCCCUAAUGUCCCACGAUCCGGAGAAACAUGUAAAAUCCGUUUUCAUCGUCAUUAUCGUAGUUAUUCAGUUAACAUGAGCUAUAUAUUUAACUCUUAAGAUUAGGUAAAUGUAUGUUUCCUUUCUUAUGGAGUAAAAGAUCAAUUGACAUGUAUGUCAUCUUCUUGUUGCUCAGGUAUAUAUAUAUUACUCUUCUCUUUGUAAUCAUCUAAAUGUAAAACUCUUAAACUUCGAUUUGUGACUCGAAAUGUCUAAAUGUGAUGUUAUAAUAUGGGGAAAAAAAACUCGUAAUAAAAGCAUCAGAAGAAAACAGAGCAUGUUGUGAUCACAGGAUUCAGGAGUCUUAAUUUCUACAUAUAGUCAUUAUAGUUAAAAGGCAAUUUUCAUAUCGUCUAACUAAUUAAUAUAUAAUUAAGAUUAGUUUAAGCUUAAUUUGAGGUGGAAAGAUCUGUUAAGAAAAAGAGUAAAUUUGCCUUGUGAUAUCCAGAAAAGAACAGAGGACCAAGACAUUUGAAGAUUCCUUCCAACUAUCAACUGUCUUAAUCUUUGAAUAGUAAGCAAGUAAGUGUCACUCACUAUUAUUAAUUAACAAAAGCAAAUUGGUUUCCUCACUAGCGAACAAGAUAUCAAUAAAAGACGAGAAGACCGAGACCUGUAGUUGUCCUCACUAACGAACAAGAUAUCAAGAAAAGACGAGAAGACCGAGACCUAUAGACUAUAGUUGUCACUGUUUAACCGAAGCAAACGUGGAUGUUAGGAUACUAUACAGGAAUAAGCAGCAGCGUACUUAAACGUCCUCUUCACUGGUUACGUUGGUUGUGUAGUUGAAUUUUAGUCUUCUUGCAAUUUCUGGGAAAAUGGGAAGGGGCCUGCGAAAAUGAGUGAGAGAGAACAUCUCGUAUACAGUUGUUUCUUAUAAGAACAAGGAGAUUAGCGAAAAAAACUCAAAAGAGGAACAGAGUUAGAGAGAGAGAGAGAGAGAGAAAUAAAGAGAGAAGAGAGGUAGAAGAUGAAGGUGCAGGAGGGUUUGUUCUUGGUGGCUAUUUUCUUCUCCCUUGCGUGUACGCAGCUGGUGAAGGGGCAACAUCAACCUGGUGAGAAUUGCCAAAAUAAAUGUGGCAACAUCACAAUAGAGUACCCUUUUGGCAUUUCUUCAGGUUGUUACUAUCCCGGAAAUGAAAGUUUCAGUAUCACCUGUAAGGAAGAUAGGCCACAUGUCUUAAGCGACAUUGAAGUGGCAAACUUUAAUCACAGCGGCCAGCUACAAGUUCUGCUUAAUCGAUCCUCUACUUGCUACGACGAGCAAGGAAAAAAAACUGAGGAGGACAGUUCUUUUACACUGGAAAAUUUAUCUCUUUCCGCCAACAACAAGUUAACUGCAGUAGGCUGUAACGCUUUAUCACUUCUGGACACUUUUGGAAUGCAAAACUACUCAACUGCAUGCUUGUCAUUAUGCGAUUCUCCCCCAGAGGCUGAUGGAGAAUGUAAUGGUAGAGGUUGCUGCAGAGUCGACGUUUCUGCCCCGUUGGAUAGCUAUACAUUCGAAACUACAUCAGGUCGCAUCAAGCACAUGACUUCUUUUCACGACUUUAGUCCUUGCACCUACGCUUUUCUCGUUGAAGAUGAUAAGUUCAACUUCAGUUCUACAGAAGAUCUUCUGAAUCUGCGAAAUGUCAUGAGGUUCCCUGUGUUACUAGAUUGGUCUGUUGGAAAUCAGACAUGCGAGCAAGUUGGAAGCACAAGCAUAUGCGGUGGGAACAGCACUUGUCUCGAUUCUACUCCUAGAAACGGGUAUAUCUGCAGAUGCAAUGAAGGCUUUGAUGGGAAUCCAUACCUUUCAGCUGGUUGCCAAGGUUCUUCUUUCUUUCAUGUUCUGAGUAGUAAUAUUUUUCCCAUUACAUAUCUUGUUGAAUCUUGCGUUCUUUUUCUUUGUGCCAGACGUCAAUGAGUGUACUACUAGUAGUACUAUCCAUAGACAUAACUGUUCGGAUCCCAAAACCUGUAGAAACAAGGUUGGAGGCUUCUAUUGUAAGUGUCAAUCUGGUUACCGCUUAGAUACCACCACUAUGAGCUGCAAGCGUAAAGAGUUUGCAUGGACUACAAUUCUUCUUGGUAAGUUUCCCUCACUAUUUCUCGACUUGAUGUUUCCCAGAUCAACUUAUUAUAAUCAUCUCUCUGAAUCUACGAUGUGUGUGAUCAGUAACCACCAUCGGCUUCUUGGUCAUUCUGCUUGGCGUUGCCUGUAUACAACAGAGAAUGAAGCACCUGAAGGACACCAAGCUCCGAGAACAAUUCUUCGAGCAAAAUGGUGGCGGCAUGUUGACACAACGACUCUCAGGAGCAGGGCCGUCAAAUGUUGAUGUCAAAAUCUUUACUGAGGAUGGCAUGAAGAAAGCAACAAAUGGUUAUGCUGAGAGCAGGAUCCUGGGUCAGGGUGGCCAAGGAACAGUGUACAAAGGGAUAUUGCCGGACAACUCCAUAGUUGCUAUAAAGAAAGCCCGACUUGGAGACAGUAGCCAAGUAGAGCAGUUCAUCAAUGAAGUGCUCGUGCUUUCACAAAUCAACCAUAGGAACGUAGUCAAGCUCUUGGGCUGCUGUCUAGAGACUGAAGUUCCCUUGUUGGUCUAUGAGUUCAUCACCAAUGGCACCCUUUUCGAUCACUUGCAUGGUUCCAUGAUUGAUUCUUCGCUUACAUGGGAACACCGUCUGAAGAUAGCAAUAGAAGUCGCUGGAACUCUUGCAUAUCUUCACUCCUCUGCUUCUAUUCCAAUCAUCCAUCGGGAUAUCAAAACUGCAAAUAUUCUUCUGGAUGUAAACUUAACUGCAAAAGUAGCUGACUUUGGUGCUUCAAGGCUGAUACCAAUGGAUAAAGAAGAGCUCGAAACUAUGGUGCAAGGCACUCUAGGUUACCUAGACCCAGAAUAUUACAACACAGGGUUGUUAAACGAAAAGAGCGAUGUUUAUAGUUUUGGGGUCGUCCUAAUGGAACUGCUCUCAGGUCAAAAGGCAUUGUGCUUUAAACGGCCACAGUCCUCAAAACAUCUGGUGAGUUACUUUGCGACUGCCACAAAAGAGAAUAGGUUGGAUGAGAUUAUUGGCGGCGAAGUGAUGAACGAGGAUAAUCUGAAGGAGAUCCAGGAAGCUGCAAGAAUUGCUGCAGAGUGUACAAGGCUAAUGGGAGAGGAAAGGCCAAGGAUGAAAGAAGUAGCUGCAAAGCUAGAAGCCUUGAGGGUCGAAAAAACCAAACAUAAGUGGUCGGAUCAGUACCCUGAGGAGAAUGAACACUUGAUUGGUGGUCACAUCUUGUCAGCACAAGGCGAAACCAGUAGCAGCAUUGGCUAUGACAGCAUCAAGAAUGUAGCAAUAUUGGACAUUGAAACUGGCCGCUGAUAUUACAAAUUCACAUGUAUUUCUUUUGUUUGUAAGAAAAAAAAAACUACCUCUUUGUUGCUUCAUCAAUAAUGCUUUGCUUCAUUAAUAAUGAUUUGAAAGAAUUUUUAUAAAUCAUCAAUAACCAUGUUUGUAAUUCCCAUUGGUAUACUAACCAGUAGCCAAUCUGGUUAUAGGCAAACUUAGAAACUCUUUUGCAAAAUAGCAGAUUACCAAUAUCAGUUCAUAAAUCUUAUUCCAUAUGACAUUGAUGUUAUCAAAAACAACUAGAUAAGAAACACUAGAAUCUUUACAAAAAGAAAUGCAUAACAUAUAGAGAAAGUUAUGAUCAUGAACCUGGUUCCUAAAUUCUUCAUCUCCUGUAUCUCUUCAUCGUCAAUUCUGCUCCUUUAACCAUAUUGUAAGCUUCGUAAAGUGGCGGAGGAGGUUUCUUGAGCAUGAUUGUUAUCCUCACAACCUCAAACUCUUUGUUCAACCCCAUCAAAAACUCGUAACGCUGCUCCUUCUCUCUCGCUUCUUUAGCUAGUUUCGUACUCUCGCAAUUGCAACCACCGCACUUACACUCAGGUACAGGAGCAUACUCCGACAACUCCAUCCAAACUUUACUCAGUUUCCCAAAAUACUCCUCAACAGAAUCACCACCUUGCCUCAACGUCGCGAGCCUCCGACGAAGCUGGUAGAUCUUCAAAUCGACGCAAGGAACGAAUCUAAGUCUGAGAUUUUCCCACGCUUGAUGAGCAGUCUUCGCGUACAUCACAGACUUUACAAGCUCUUCGCUCAUCAAAUUCAUCAGCCAAUACUUAACUAUUGUGUCGCAUCGUUUCCAUGGAUGAUAGAGCGGCGAGGAAGGUUCUGGCUGCGGGAGAGUACUGUCAAUGAAACCGAUUUUGUUCGUGAGUUCGAGAAAAGAGCGAAAUCGAAAUUUCCAGAUGACGUAGUUGUCUUCGGCUUCGCUGAGUUUUUCGAUAGAGAAAUCGGAGGGUUGAUUAAUAUCUGGAGGGAGAUAAUACGGUGAAUCGGGGUCGGAUAAUGGAGAUACGCUCUUGAUAGUUUCCGCCAUUGUCGUCACUGAGCUCUGCUUCUAAAACUCUAGGGCUUGCCCUUUUUUAUCCCUUUCGAUUUUGACUAACAUUAAACAAAUCAUUUUCAAAAUGAGAAAGAGAAAAAAAAAAAAAAAAAAAGAUAAAGAGUUGGGCUUAAUGGGCCUUGAGUUUCCCUCCGGAGCCCAACAAAGCCCCUAGGGAAGCUAGCGUCGAUUGCAAGAAACGCAUAUGCUUCUUUCCAACGUUUUGAUUUGUGGAUACUAGAGAGGAUGUCAAUAAACAUGAUUGGUCCAAGCAAACAGUUGAUCUUCCCUUCCCUUUGGUUGAUAUGAGUUCCCUGGCACCAACAAGGUUGGUGAAAUCAUUUCCCCCAAAAUGUAUACCACCCAUUCUUCAACUUUCCUUCUUCAUAAUGGACUCAUACACGAUAUGUGCGUCUCUAUCUCACCCGAACCUUGUUUUUCUUCAAGGACCUUAAUGUGUAAGAGCUUGACAGACUCUGUUUUUUUCUUCUUUGAAUCAAUAUAUAAGCGUUGGCUUUUCAACAUCAAGCAAACUAGUUUUUUAUCUUACCAUUGAUGAUUUGCAUUUUCUGACAUGUGUUAUUUCUUUUUAUUGUUGUUCAUAUUUUGAGUGUUUUGUUUGUUUUUGCUCAGAAGGUAUUAUAUGCACAAGAUUUCAUUGAACUGUAUGCUGCAGAUAAUCAUCGAGAAGCUCGUUUAUCUAUGAGGAUUAAGCCAUUGUGGAAGUUUUGGAAAACCUAAUCUUAACUAUCAUUUGUCUUAACUACCAAUAGGUCUAAUUCUAAAAGACAGUGGAAAUAAAAAAGCAGGGAAGAGAAGGGUUAGGUGAAGGUGGUCUACAUAAUUUGCCUGGAAAUCAAGAAAAGUAAGAGAAGGAUAUUGGAGCGGACCAUAGCACAUGAAGAUGAAACAUUCUAAUGGGGCUCCCAUUUUAAAAGGGUCCCACAGAAAUUUUAUUGUAAUUAAAUAUACAUAUAUAUAUAUAUUGAUUUUUAAUAGGAGAAAUAGUUAGUUUUAUACAUAUUAAUCUUAAAUAAUAGUGUGAUCCAAAAUAUUUAUAAAUCUAACAUACAAUUAAAUAAAUAAUUCAGAGUUUUGUUUAAAUUGGUUUCUAUUUACUCUAUAGUUUUAAAGACAAAAGUACUUUGUUUUCGUAAUUUAAAUGGCCCGAAUUUCAUUGGUCCGGCUCUGUAAAAUAAUAUUUACUAUUGCAGAUUCCUGCAAUUAUUGGGAAAAUGGGGACUAGUCAACGGAAGCAAGUCAAGAGAACAUAUCAAGAAUGGAGUGUGUUUUCUUAGCUUUAAGAAGCAGAUGCUACGGAGAGAUGAGAGAAAACUCAAAGAGAAACAAAUUUAGUGAGACAAAGAGAGAAGGAGAAGAUGAAGUUGCAAGAGGGUCUGAUCUUGGUGGCAUAAUGCUUUAUGACUCAAAAUGUCUAAAUGUGGGGAAAAAAACAAGUCGUAAUAAAAGCAUCAUAAGAAAACAGAGCAUGUUGUGAUCAGGAUUCAGGAGUCUCAAUUCCUAUAUCGUCAUUUUAAAAGGCAAUUUUCAUAUUUUGAGCGUGAAAUUAACUGUUAAGAAAAAGAGUAAAUUUGCCUUGUAAUAUCGAGAAAAGAAGAGAGGACCGAGACUGAAGUUGACUUAAGAGGGUCUUCAUAAUUGAAGAUUCCUUGCAAGUUGCAACUGUCUUAAUCUUUGAAUAGUAAGAAAAUAAGUGUCACUGUUAACAAAAUUAAAUCGGUUUCCCCACUAACGAAAAAAAUAUCAAGAAUGACGAGAAGACCAAGACCUAUAGUUGUCACUGUUUAAAUACUAUACAGGAAUAUGCAGCAAACGUCCUCUUCACGCCUCAUGGGUUACAUUGGUUGUGUAGUUGAAUUUUCGUCUUCUUGCAUUAUAUGACAAAAUGGGAGCGGGCCUGCGAAAAUGAGUGAAGAGAACAUUUCAUAUACAGUUGUUUCUAAUAAGAAAAAGGAGAUUAGCGAAAACUCAAAACAGGAACAAAGUUAAAAGAGUGAGAGAGAAAGAAAGAGAGAAGAUGAAGGUACAGGAGGGUUUGUUCGUGGUGGCUGUUUUCUACCUUGCUUAUACGCAGCUAGUCAAGGGGCAACCUCGCAAGGAGUGCCAAACUAGAUGUGGCAAUGUCGCAGUUGAGUACCCUUUUGGUACUUCUCCAGGUUGUUACUAUCCCGGAGAUGAAAGUUUCAAUCUUACUUGCAACGAGCAAGAGAAGCUCUUCUUUGGCAACAUGCCAGUCAUCAACAUGUCUCUCAGCGGCCAGCUUCGUGUUCGGCUAGUUAGAUCCAGAGUUUGCUACGAUAGUCAAGGAAAACAGACUGACUACAUUGCCCAGCGGACCACCCUGGGUAAUUUCACUCUCUCUGAACUUAACAGAUUUACUGUAGUAGGUUGUAACAGUUACGCAUUUCUCCGCACAUCUGGAGUUGAAAAAUACUCAACUGGAUGCAUAUCAAUAUGUGAUUCUGCCACAACGAAAAACGGAUCAUGUUCUGGUGAAGGUUGCUGCCAGAUCCCUGUCCCUAGAGGAUACUCUUUUGUCAGAGUAAAACCACAUAGCUUUCACAACCAUCCUACUGUGCAUCUGUUUAAUCCUUGCACCUACGCCUUUCUCGUUGAAGAUGGUAUGUUUGACUUCCAUGCUUUGGAAGAUCUCAACAAUCUGCGAAAUGUUACUACGUUCCCUGUAGUACUAGAUUGGUCUAUCGGAGACAAGACUUGCAAACAAGUAGAAUACAGGGGCGUGUGUGGUGGUAACAGCACAUGUUUCGAUUCUACUGGUGGAACCGGGUAUAACUGCAAAUGUUUAGAAGGUUUUGAGGGGAAUCCAUACCUUCCAAACGGUUGUCAAGGUACUUUAACUUGUUUUCUGUUUUAUCACUUCUUUUAAUCGUUUACUUCAUACAUGCUCUUUUUCCUUGGCCAGACAUCAAUGAAUGUAUUAGUAGUAGACAUAACUGUUCGGAGCAUAGUACCUGUGAAAACACGAAGGGGAGCUUCAACUGUAACUGCCCAUCUGGUUACCGCAAAGAUUCCCUUAAUAGCUGUACUCGUAAAGUCAGGCCUGAAUACUUUAGAUGGACUCAAAUUUUUCUUGGUAUGUUCCCCUCACUGGUUUCGGAUACUUUCCUUUUAAAAAACUAGCUCUAAUUACCUAGGUGUGAUGUGAUCAGGAACCACCAUCGGCUUCUCGGUUAUCAUGCUUGGGAUUAGCUGUCUACAACAGAAAAUUAAGCACCGGAAGAACACAGAGCUCCGACAAAAAUUCUUCGAGCAAAAUGGUGGAGGCAUGUUGAUACAGCGAGUCUCGGGAGCAGGGCCAUCAAAUGUUGAUGUCAAAAUCUUCACUGAGAAAGGAAUGAAGGAAGCAACUAAUGGUUACCAUGAGAGCAGAAUCCUGGGUCAGGGAGGCCAAGGAACAGUGUACAAAGGGAUAUUGCCGGACAACUCCAUAGUUGCUAUAAAGAAAGCUCGGCUUGGAAACCGUAGCCAAGUAGAGCAGUUCAUCAACGAAGUGCUAGUGCUUUCACAAAUCAACCAUAGGAACGUGGUCAAGGUCUUGGGGUGUUGUUUAGAGACAGAAGUCCCCUUGUUGGUCUAUGAGUUCAUUAACAGUGGUACCCUUUUCGAUCACUUGCACGGUUCCUUGUAUGAUUCUUCACUUACAUGGGAGCACCGUCUGAGGAUAGCAACAGAAGUAGCAGGAAGUCUUGCAUAUCUUCACUCUUCUGCUUCUAUUCCAAUCAUCCACCGAGAUAUCAAGACUGCUAAUAUUCUCCUGGAUAAAAACUUAACUGCAAAAGUAGCUGACUUUGGUGCAUCAAGAUUGAUACCGAUGGAUAAAGAGCAGCUCACAACAAUAGUGCAAGGCACUCUAGGUUACCUAGACCCAGAAUAUUACAACACAGGGUUGUUAAACGAAAAGAGCGAUGUUUAUAGUUUUGGGGUCGUCCUAAUGGAACUGCUCUCAGGUCAAAAGGCAUUGUGUUUCGAAAGACCACAUUGCCCAAAAAAUC
rnacentral:lncRNA from 1 species